rnacentral:rRNA from 1 species
AUUGAACGCUGGCGGCAUGCCUUACACAUGCAAGUCGAACGGCAGCACGGGAGCAAUCCUGGUGGCGAGUGGCGAACGGGUGAGUAAUAUAUCGGAACGUGCCCAGUCGUGGGGGAUAACGCAGCGAAAGCUGUGCUAAUACCGCAUACGAUCUACGGAUGAAAGUGGGGGAUCGCAAGACCUCGCGCGAUUGGAGCGGCCGAUAUCAGAUUAGCUAGUUGGUGGGGUAAAAGCCCACCAAGGCGACGAUCUGUAGCUGGUCUGAGAGGACGACCAGCCACACUGGAACUGAGACACGGUCCAGACUCCUACGGGAGGCAGCAGUGGGGAAUUUUGGACAAUGGGCGCAAGCCUGAUCCAGCAAUGCCGCGUGCAGGAUGAAGGCCUUCGGGUUGUAAACUGCUUUUGUACGGAGCGAAACGGCUUCCCCUAAUACGGGGAGCUAAUGACGGUACCGUAAGAAUAAGCACCGGCUAACUACGUGCCAGCAGCCGCGGUAAUACGUAGGGUGCGAGCGUUAAUCGGAAUUACUGGGCGUAAAGCGUGCGCAGGCGGUUAUAUAAGACAGAUGUGAAAUCCCCGGGCUCAACCUGGGACCUGCAUUUGUGACUGUAUAGCUAGAGUACGGUAGAGGGGGAUGGAAUUCCGCGUGUAGCAGUGAAAUGCGUAGAUAUGCGGAGGAACACCGAUGGCGAAGGC